CCUUCAAGUUGAAAGGUGAUUCCCAGCUUGUGGGGGGUUAAGGGGGAAAGGGUGGAUUACCAGUGGGUUACCUGCCCUUAAAUUUGGGAUAAACCCGGGAAAAUGGGUUUUAAUCCGGAUAAGAAUUCUUAAUGCCUGGUGGGGGGGGGAAAAGUUUAUUGUGGUUUUGGAUGGACUCGCGGCCUAUCAGCUUGUUGGUGAGGUAAUGGCUUACCAAGGCGACGACGGGUAGCCGGCCUGAGAGGGUGACCGGCCACACUGGGACUGAGACACGGCCCAGACUCCUACGGGAGGCAGCAGUGGGGAAUAUUGCACAAUGGGCGCAAGCCUGAUGCAGCGACGCCGCGUGAGGGAUGACGGCCUUCGGGUUGUAAACCUCUUUCAGUAGGGAAGAAGCGAAAGUGACGGUACCUGCAGAAGA
rnacentral:rRNA from 1 species